rnacentral:rRNA from 1 species
GAUGAACGCUAGCUACAGGCUUAACACCUGCCAGUCGAGGGACCGGCGCACGGGUGAGUAAAACGUAUCUCACCUGCCCUUUACUCGGGGAUAGCCUUUCGAUAGAAAGAUUAAUACCCGAUAUAAAGGAUGCGGAUGCUUUUCAUUAGGUUGUUGGUGAGGUAACGGCCCACCAAGCCUUCGAUGGAUAGGGGUCCUGAGAGGAAGGUCCCCCACAUUGGAACUGAGACACGGUCCAAACUCCUACGGGAGGCAGCAGUGAGGAAUAUUGGGCAAUGGGCGCUAGCCUGAACCAGCCAAGUAGCGUGAAGGAUGAAGGCUUAUGGGUCGUAAACUUCUUUUAUAUAAGAAUAUGUAUUAUAUGAAUAAGGAUCGGCUAACUACGUGCCAGCAGCCGCGGUAAUAC